GUCAUGCUGAAGUUAAAGAGCAAGGGCUCAUCAAGAGCUCCAAGUUUGCACAAAGAACAACUCUUCUCAAAGACCAGGAAGGUAAGAUAGACAAGAGAGGAAAGAUGUCAGUCCUCUCAGCGUUGUCUUCAGACUUACCCUCAAGGCAGGGCCCUCUGGUUGCUCUUCCUGGGCCCAGAGAGGUGAGCAGGCUCAGGGCACUCCACCCACUGGCCUUUUAUUGCCCUUCAGCUUCUAUGAGCUACAGGUGCGGAGAGCAGCAAGUAGCCAGACCUAAGCAUCCUCCAUGCCUUCAAGAUAGAAAAACAAGACGUUUCGGUACCAGAGAUCCAUGCAGUGGACAAGUUCAACUCUCAGCGCUGCUGCUAACCUGCGAGAACUUGGGGAUAGCUUAGAUUCUAUCAGUCUAGUGCUCUGUAAUGAGAGCUGUUGGCAGGGACUGUCAGGAAAGAGAGAUCACGAAAAGGUCACGGCACAAGGAUGUCUUAACAGUUCCUUCAUCUUUUGUUCUCGGAAGCGCGCUCUUCCUCUCCAGUGUUCCACGGGGCCCUUCUUCUGCUCAGCUCCCUGGGGCCCCUGGCUAACAGCAUCCUCCCACAGCAUCCGGAGCUAGCUUAGCAGCGCACAGGUGCACAGACAGGCAGCCUGGAGCGCCAAGGAUUUAAGCAAAAAUCAAACCUGAAACAAAAGCCGCCCCUCAGCCCGGGCAGGGACCGUCUGCAUUUGUACCCGGGGCGUGGUCUGACCGCUGCUCCAAAGGUUCUGUAGGAGGUGAUGCCUGUAACUUUACUUGUCUUUUAUGUUCUGCCUCCAAAGGAGAAGUAGCCAAAAAUCACUGAAAUUUCAUACAGAAACAUAGUAAAUAAAUAAAUAAAUAACCCUCCCGCGUUUUCCGCUGAGGAAGACAAAAUACAGCACACGAUGUUCGGCUGCCAGUCAGUGUACAAAGCAUAUUAAUUAUGUGCAGGGAAAAUGGCAGUUUCCACACGCGGGUACAAAGUAUUGAACAUCCAGAAGGACUAGUCAUGGGACUGGAGCCUAUGGCACUGGUACCCGGUCUGGCUUACUGCCUGCAAGAAUUCCCCCAAAUGAGCACUCUCUUUCAGAUGUAGGGGAAACCGAGGCUCAGAUAGAGGUCCAGAGAGCUGGAAUCUGAACGAGGCUUGAUUGACUCCAUAUUUAAUGCUUAUGGACCAGGUGAGGGAGGGGAUCACCUCCAGGACCGAGGGGUAGGAACUGUCCAGGUCUUUUUUAAAAAGUUAAACAUCACAGUCAGACUGGGAUUAGGGGGGGGCAUGUGCUGGCUUUAGGGGUUGGAGACAGAGCGGUGAUGUUUAUCAGCCCAACUUCCAUGUGCUGUCUCCCACAGAGCUGAGACUCCCUUCUGGAAAUCAGAGGCCAAAUGGGAAGGCAUUUCUGCCUCAAGGGUCUCCUUGUAUCGGCGUCCACAGGGACAGCAGAGACGGGGACUCACACUUGUUCUGAAUAGACACCCAGGGAGCAACGAGUCUUGACAAGUAAGCGAUUUGGAAUUGAACAUUAAGUUUAAAAUGACUGUGGAUGUGGCAAGAGCAAGAAUCCAGAAAUGAGUCACACUCAUUACUGGAAUGGAAAAACGUCCUUCGCAAGGAGGGAGAGGGACAAGGAGGACGGCAGCGUUAGCCACCUCCAGGACAGAAUUGUAGGAAACGAGUCAAAGUCGCGGCCAGCAUGGGCGCAGGUGGACUGGGGGAGGGGCGAUCGCAGAGGCUGCCUUUCGGAGAGCCUCCAGGCCAGGCAUCUGUCCCUGGAGAAGCAGUUUGAGGCCCUUGAGCAGAGCUCAUUUUGCCCUAUUGUGUCCGAGUGUGUUCCAGAGAAAUCUGUUUCCUGACUGAAGGCUGCUAAAUCAGGGCUGGCUGUAGAUGGUGCCACUCGGAGCAGCUGCAAACAACAACGGAUUAAAGACCGGAGGAAGAGGUGCAGCCAGUUUAAGGGAUUCUGAAGGGGGUGGGGGUGGAGUGACCUGAAGUCACAGGGAUGCUGGAGGAUGAUGACUGUCCUGUCCCACCAUUCGGGUUACCAGGCCAUCCAAAACAGUGCCUCUGAAGACAAAAAAGCUCCCCAGGGCCUCUGAAGUCAGAUGCCAGUGAGGAGGCCCCCUAGCGGCUCUAAUUCUGAAGCCUCCUCCUUACCCUACAUAAUUAAAGCUUCUUUGCAAGUUUGUAGCUCCUGCAGAGGGGCAGCGCUCUUGGGUGGUUCACCCAAACGUGAGGUGUUGUUGACUUAACCCGCUUGUUUCUUUUUGCAGCUGGGGCCAGGCUCAGAUACUGCAAACAGGUUCCCUCCACCGCACUAUCCACGCAACAGUCAAGAUGAUACCCCCGCCCCCAGGGCGUUACUGUAAACUCUUCCAAACUGCGGGAAAGUUGAGAGAAUUUCACAGUGGAUACUCAUCUCCAGUGUGAUUUUAUACGCUCUGUUUUCCUCUUUAAGAGGGAGGGCGUUCAUUUGAGCCAACCAUCCAUCUCCUUCUUGAGGGAUCUGUCCCACGGGCACCUGGAAGCAGGAACUGAGGAACUUCCAAGCCAUUCAAGCACAUCCUCAGCCAGAUUCCAAUAUUUGUCACUUUUUUUUAAAACAAAAAAAUGCCAGAAUGAUCCUUUAAAAACAUAAAGAUGGUUGCCAGACACUCGCAUUUAAAAUCUGUGUAUCCAUUAGGGGCCUCUCAGACUCUUCCUGCCACUCCAUGUGACCCAGUCCUGUCAAAUUUGCCAGCCGCCUCCAGCCUCCAUGUGUUAGAGCUAAUGGGUGAGGCCUGAAUGCUCACUUGGCCUUUCAGAAGCUGUUGACUAAGCCAAGAAGUUAUCCAGCAAAAAUUCUCAGAAAGUCACAUCUUUGCAUUUGGCAAUGUGCUUUCCCGUCUGUCCCUGCCCUCUCUGCAUCCCUGGAAGGAGCUCCUCAGGCUCAUCUCCCUGACAGCUCAUCAAAUGCAAUUUGUGUCUCCUUCAUGAUUUUAAUUUCAAAGAAUGAAAUUUAUAUCCCAUGGAUAAGAAGGAGUAAGUAUACAAACUUCCAGAUUUGUCUUAUUCCUUACGUCUCUGCUAUACACUGAAAAUGACUGGGAGAUUUCACAACGUAUUUUGCAGUUUAAAGGAAUAAAAUGGUAAAGAACAAUUGCUAACUUUGUACUCGUUUGUUUGUUUGCUUGUUUGUUUGUUGUGCCUAUGCACAUGUGCUGCUGCCUGAGUGUGGGGCCAGAGAGCAACCUGCCGAGAGCUGGCUCUUGCUUUCUGUCAUGGAUUAGACUCAGCUCAUCAGGGAAGCAGAGCUGAUGGCUGGCCGGAGAUGAACUCCCUCAGAGAUGGUGGGUAAAUGACCCUGUAGUGUGAUCAUUAAGUAGUUUCCAUCCUAGAACAAUGAGUCUUGCGAUCCUCAAUCCUGCAGUGGCCUCUUUCAAGCCCCCAAACUUUUGGAUGGCUUCUUGUUUUUAUGAGACUUACAGUGCCAUGAGAUAUGAACAGUAAUGAAUAUUCAGUGACUCCAGUUUACAGAGCUAGACUUCUCACUUGCCGAAUGGCCCCUUAUAUUUGAGUUGAGGAUUUUAUGUUUCUGCUCACGCCAGUGGGAUGUCUGGUUACCAAGGAUACUGGGCAUAAAAGGAUCCACUGAGUCAUCUCGCCAAACUGUUCUUGAAGACAAAGCAUGGCGCAUAUCUGUAGCUAUGUGGGUAGUCGUUCACCCUCCAAAUUCCCAGGCAUGAUGGUAUGCUUUUAAUCUGGAAUUUGUCUAAUGAAAUCAUCUCUAUAAAUUGGCGAGUGCAUUCUUCAGAAGGAAUAGGGCUGUGGUUGUCCAAAGACCUUUGCCUUACCCAAGUCAGGCCCAAAAGGGAGAUGACUGAGAUGUCCCAAGUGUCUGUCCAGUUCUAGGUCCUAUACCAAACCUUGGCCGUGUCUCAUGUCCUUGCCCAUUUACUUGCUGGAAAUAAAGACAAGGUCAUAUGUGAACAAUGUAUGAUGUGUACAAUGUAGUAUUGAUCAGCAGCACGACUAAUGGACGAAUGGGUGUGUAAGCAACCUUGCACAGGAAUUGUAAGCCCGUUUUGUUAGUGGCCUUGGAGAAGUGAAACAAGUCUAUUAGUUUUGUGUCUUUAUCAUCAAACUUUAGAUAACUUUGUGUUAUCAUAUUGUUUAAUUCAUCAGAUGUCAGAGGAAACAGUGAUGACCACUCAAAGGUCUGCAUCUCUUUCCCAGGAAGGGGUCAGUGUCUUUCCAGAUGUGCACCUGGUAACUGAAAAUAUUUUGUGGUUAUUUUUAUUUGGAGAUUAAAUGUGGCUUAAGGAAAAGUAUGCUCUGAUGAUUUACGAUUCUAUUUGUCUAGAGUUUUGCUCCAUUUUAAAAUAAAACAGUAUCGUAGAGCUACAGUGAGACAUUUUGCGUGUUGUUAAAUCAUGAACAAUGGAACGAUGAUUUGGUAAAAUUCAUGUUCUCCAAAUUUUGCAUUAAGUGAGGCAGGGCAAAGUGCAUUAAAAUCUCCCUUAGCAUUGAAAACUUAUGAGUAUUCUUUUAUUUUGAGAUAACUACAUCAUUCUCAUCUUCUUACUUCCUCCAAAC
rnacentral:sRNA from 1 species